AAGUUCUUGCACUGGAGUGUUCAAAAUUUUUGGUCUUUGAUAUUCUUUCCUUGCAUUGCUGACUGUGAACGCUUGUCGUGAGAAAUUAGUUAGAGAAUGUUUGUUUGUUUUUAUGUUUUUAUGUUUGUGUUUGUGUUAAACCGACUUAAACCUUUACAUUUGUUUAUGUUUGUGUCUUUAUGCUAUUUGUUCAAGUUUUGUUUGUGUCUUUAUCCUUUAUGGCCUGGCUGUCUUUCUAGUCUAUGGUCUCUUUAUUCAUGUUGUGCCUUCAUCUCAGUUGUGAGAUGUAUCUUUUCCCUUGCAAUAUAAAUAACCUAAAGAAUGAGUCAAUGGUAUAUGUAGUCAGGUAUUUACUCCUUCCCUUUAUUUAACUUUUAUUACCAUUACUCUUUCUUUAUUUUAUUUUUCAUGUGGUUUGUUGUUUUCAUAAUUUCAUGUUGCUUUUCGAAUUCCUAAGUCAAUUAGAAAUUGGCUUCGAAAGUUAAAAUUAGUUAUAGAACACCACAAGUUUCCUAAUGGUUUCCUAAUGGUAAGUUUGGAUGAAAGUGAAUCUUAUUUUGAUCUCAUAUUUUUAGCUCUUGUGUACUGUCUUCAAUGUCUUCAAUAUCCUAGUAUUGUAUUUGUCACGCGGCGUGGUCACCCGAGCUCAACGAUACUCAAUCGUGGAAAGGGGCAUUGUGUUGGUCAGGUUUAUUCUUUUCACUUUUUUUCUUGCGAUUCUUUCUGAUGGUAAUGUUUUGAUACAUUUAUCUCGAAUUGUUGCUGCAUAUGGCUAUUUGUCUACAAAGCGAUAGUGUGAAAGUAAGUAGUUUUUGUUAAGGAAGCAGUAGUUAGAUGCAAAUAGAGACGCAGAAGUUUCUAUUGAAGUGCGAGGUACAAGAAAAUUGGAAGAUGCGUGAGUACACCAUGCUUUGGAGCAUCAUAUUCUGUUUUGUUUUCUUUAUUUGCUUAUUUCCCCCUCAUCGGGCUUGUAUUUAUUAGUUUUUUAUUAGUUGCGGGUGUGACUUUAGUAUGGUUGAAGGUUUUCUCAUUCCAUCCGGUGCUGUUUUUGAAAGACAUUGUUCUCAUCCUCACCCAUUUCAACCACCUAAGACAAUUAGAAAGCUAAAAGGUAAUCCAAGAGGUGGUAAGUUUUGAUUAAUCCAACUUGAACACGCUGGUGGAAAUGAAUCAAAUGAUGGUGAGUAUUCAGUAGAGAAGCACUUCUUGACAUUUUAAAACAGAAGAUGAUGCUUAUCCAAUUCAAACACUUAGGUGUAUAUCUUAUAUGUCUCUAUUCCCGUAGGCAGGUAUGGGAAGUUUUAUUGUCCCAUCCACAUGCACUUUUCCUAGCAGAGACUCUAAAAUGGAGAACUUGGUUCAUUGGUUGUGUGUUGAAGAGAAACAAAUGAGAACUUGAGGUAUGGGAAGUUUUGUUGUCCCAUCCACAUGCAUUUUUUCCUAGCUGAGACUCUAAAAUGGAGAACUUGGUUGCCUGUUGAAGAGAAACAAAUGAGAACUUGAGGUAACUUGAUUGAUACAAGGAUUCGUUUUACACUAUUGAUAUUGUUUGGACUUUGGAGGGAGCACUUGGUCUUCAUGUUGUCUCUCUUCUCCUCUCAUUUCCUCUCUUUCCUCUCUCCUCCCCUUUCCUCUUUUCCUUUCUCUUUCUCCCUCCCUUCCCGUUGUUGGAUUGUGUUCCAAUGAUAUUUUAAUUGAAUGUUUGUUAUUUUUUGUAUAUAUUUAAUUAGAUAGAUUUAGUAGUAGUUAGCUUCUCGGGUGACUAUUACUGACAGUUUUCUAUUAAUUGUAUUGUAUUUGUUCCAUAUCUUAUUGUUUAUUUAUU